rnacentral:rRNA from 1 species
AAACCAGCACCUCAAGUGGUCAGGAUGAUUAUUGGGCCUAAAGCAUCCGUAGCCUGCUUUGCCAGUUUUCGGUUAAAUCUGUACGCUUAACGUACAGGCUGCCGGGAAUACUGCAGAGCUCGGGAGUGGGAGAGGUAGACGGUACUCGGGAGGAAGUGGUAAAAUGCUUUGAUCUCUCGAUGACCACCUGUGGCGAAGGCGGUCUACCAGAACACGUCCGACGGUGAGGGAUGAAAGCUGGGGGAGCAAACCGGAUUAGAUACCCGGGUAGUCC